AGUGACCUUAGCCUGGUGACCAUAGCCUGGUGACCUUAGCCUGGUCCUUUUCUGUCACUGGUCAGUCAAGUGUUUGUCCUCUCCAUAGGAGGUGACUGCUUGAGACCUUGGGAAGACAGGGCUGGACAAGCAGACCUUAAAGGCUUUUUAUUUCAGGAUGAGCAGAGUGAUUUAAGACUCCUUAUGUGAAGAUAUAAGCCUCCUCAUGUGAAAGAGGCAUUUUUUUUUUGUCUCAGCAAGCACAUCUCUUACUAAAAACUCUUUUCUUCAUCUGUUGACCCUUUAUUCCAAUAUAUUAAGUCCCUCUACCAACUAUUCUCUUGUUAAUUUAAGCAAGUUCUAAAUAGAUUUAUAAUAUGCUCACUCCUACCUCAAGUGCCAGCUUUUCAUGAGUGAAUUUGGUGGAGAAUUGAGAGAAAAAUCUCAUUUUCUAGGGACGGGGGAUUGCACUGCAAAUGUGCUAGUCUCAGAGUUCCGUGUCUGCCUUAAAAUCAUAUUUCUGGUACGAUUGGAACAAACUCUAAACAAAUACAAAACUGUACUUUAAAAAGAGUUGGUAUUUUAAAACUCUGAGUCUUGAGACACUCCCGUAAACAGCAGACGCUUCUAAGUUAAUGUAUUAUUUUUCUUUUCUUUUCUUUGGAAAAAAAUAGUGGAACGCACACUAAAGUUUAUUGUAUCUAUCCUGUGGGAUGUUCUAGGAGCUACCCUAUGCAUAUGCAAUGUUUCUAACGAUCUAGGGAUGGGAGCAUCAAUGUAACACGAUGUGUUUUUGUGUGUGCAGUGUUUGCACUUGGGCCGGCCCAUCCGGAGCAGUUGUGUCAGAUGAUUUAUACUGAGUCGGUUUCACAAUGAAGCGCUGGCUGGCCUGGAACUCCUCUAUCGACCACAUGCCUCUCUCUCUCCUGAGUGUUGAGAUGAGAGGCGCCACCACACCUGGCUACAUCUGUUUUUUCAGGGUUUCAGCCUUUCCCUAGCCAGUCUGCUAACUGUCACUUCUCAGUGGUCAGAGAGAGGCCUCCAACACAUACCUGGUUUGGUGCCUGUUUACUGUGGGCACGGACAGAACCACACCCAUUUUCACACGUGUCUAAAAUGGGAGAAAAUAGGUUCAGACAGAGGCCCCAAAGGCCCUGCUGUAAGCAAAUCAUGUAUGCUUACAUUCUCAGGGAUGGUUUCUUCCACAAGCUAUCUCUAUUUUCUAAAACUUCUAGAUUCUCAGCAGAGUUCCCCAUCAGAUUAUUUGAUAUCUACAAGUGCUUUCCAUUAUUAUGUAAAAAUAAAAGCCGGGUGCUAAUGGUUUCGGAGGAUAGCAGUAAGAAUAACAUUCUCUUGAACUAAGACAUUGGCUGGUUGCUUCUUUCUUUCAGGUCAGUGAGACCAGGGUGUUAGUGUUAAAGACUGGUGGAGCAUUUCCAUUCAUGGGUGAUCCUGGACCCUUUUUCUGGGUUGUAACACCUACCUGAUGGGUACAGGUCCAGCAAGAACAUUCUGGAAGCUGUCUGGGUGGGUUGCACUCGUGUAUUCAGACACACCCAUGGCAGAGGCUCUAUGAAGGAGCUUCAGAUCCACUGCACAUAAUCUUUUUCCUUUUGAGCCUAUAGGUUCAAGCCAGUAUGUGAAGGUGACCAUGCAUAUAUUUUGCUUUUACAGAAGAGGCUGUGGAAAGUGCGGGAUUAUGAAAUAUUAAACCUUGGGACCUCAGUGUCAUAGGGGUUAUAGAAUGAUACUAAAAUGACACAGUGACGUGACAUAAGAGGUGACUGCAGUGGCCUGUGAGAUGCUCAGACUCUCUGGUCAGCAGCGUUUGCUGACCUCUGUGUGAGUGGGGCAGGCUUCGAGGAGUAGCUGGGGUUUUGCAGAGUGGAUAAGAGUUCAUGAAAAGACUUCUGGACCAGCCUGUCUCAAGCUACGCUUUCAGUUUCAUGAGUAAUAUUAAACUUGAGGUCAGAGCGAGGAUUUCCUAAUUUCUCUUGUCUCUUGAGACCUUUGACUGCCCUGCUGGCUCUUAGCCUUGCCAUCUCCUGUGGGAAUGGACCCUAGACUGGAGCGGUCCUGACCCUUCCCACUGCAAUGGGAGAUGCAGUUGUAUUGUUGUGUAAUGAUAUUGUGGUAGAGAAGGGAGACUGCACCUCACCGUCCGGUCUGCCCUGCCUCCUGUGGGCAUGUGUUCCAAGCAGACACAGCACAAACAAGCAUACCCCAUGGUGACUUCUGUCUCUUCUGUGAAGGUGACCAGUUCUCACUCAGUGACAGAAGAGAAGACAGGCAUUCUAAGGACUACUUUUUC
rnacentral:lncRNA from 1 species